rnacentral:rRNA from 1 species
UACAGAGGUCCCAAGCGUUGUUCGGAUUCACUGGGCGUAAAGCGCACGUAGGCGGGUCGUUAAGUCAGGGGUGAAAUCCCGGAGCUCAACUCCGGAACUGCCUUUGAUACUGGCGAUCUCGAGAUCGGAAGAGGUGAGUGGAAUUCCCAGUGUAGAGGUGAAAUUCGUAGAUAUUGGGAAGAACACCGGUGGCGAAGGCGGCUCACUGGUCCGAUACUGACGCUGAGGUGCGAAAGCGUGGGGAGCAAACAGG